AAGUCGAGCGAUGAAAGCUGUUCAGAUCCUUCGGGUGACGAACUUCUGGAUUAGCGGCGAACGGGUGAGUAACGCGUGAGGAACCUGCCUCUCACAACGGGAUAGCCUCGGGAAACCGGGAUUAAUACCGUAUGACACUAUCAGAUGGCAUCAUCAGGUAGUUAAAGUGCUAGCGGUGAGAGAUGGCCUCGCGUCUGAUUAGUUAGUUGGUGGGGUAACGGCCUACCAAGACGACGAUCAGUAACCGGCCUGAGAGGGUGAACGGUCACAUUGGAACUGAGACACGGUCCAAACUCCUACGGGAGGCAGCAGUGGGGAAUCUUGCACAAUGGGGGAAACCCUGAUGCAGCGACGCCGCGUGAGCGAUGAAGGUUUUCGAAUCGUAAAGCUCUGUCCUAUGGGAAGAUAAUGACGGUACCAUAGGAGGAAGCCCCGGCUAACUACGUGCCAGCAGCCGCGGUAAUACGUAGGGGGCGAGCGUUGUCCGGAAUUACUGGGCGUAAAGGGUUCGCAGGCGGCAUGACAAGUCCGAUGUAAAAGGCGAAAGCUCAACUUUCGUAAGCAUCGGAAACUGUCAAGCUUGAGUGAAGGAGAGGCAAGUGGAAUUCCUAGUGUAGCGGUGGAAUGCGUAGAUAUUAGGAG
rnacentral:rRNA from 1 species